CAAGUCGAGCGGCAGCGCGGGGGCAACCCUGGCGGCGAGCGGCGAACGGGUGAGUAAUACAUCGGAACGUGUCCUGUAGCGGGGGAUAACCUCUCGAAAGAGAGGCUAAUACCGCAUACGACCUACGGGUGAAAGCGGGGGACCGCAAGGCCUCGCACUAUAGGAGCGGCCGAUGUCGGAUUAGCUAGUUGGCGGGGUAAAAGCCCACCAAGGCGACGAUCCGUAGCUGGUCUGAGAGGACGAUCAGCCACACUGGAACUGAGACACGGUCCAGACUCCUACGGGAGGCAGCAGUGGGGAAUUUUGGACAAUGGGGGCAACCCUGAUCCAGCCAUGCCGCGUGAGUGAAGAAGGCCUUCGGGUUGUAAAGCUCUUUCGGCGGGGACGAAACGGUUCAUGCCAACACCAUGAACUAAUGACAGUACUCGCAGAAGAAGCACCGGCUAACUACGUGCCAGCAGCCGCGGUAAUACGUAGGGUGCAGGCGUUAAUCGGAAUUACUGGGCGUAAAGCGUGCGCAGGCGGCUCCUUAAGUCAGAUGUGAAAUCCCCGGGCUUAACCUGGGAACUGCGUUUGAAACUGAGGAGCUCGAGUGUGGAAGAGGGGGGUGGAAUUCCAGGUGUAGCAGUGAAAUGCGUAGAGAUCUGGAGGAACACCGAUGGCGAAGGCAGCCCCCUGGGCUAACACUGACGCUCAUGCACGAAAGCGUGGGGAGCAAACAGGAUUAGAUACCCUGGUAGUCCACGCCCUAAACGAUGUCAACUGGUUGUCGGGGAAGCAAUUCCUUGGUAACGAAGCUAACGCGUGAAGUUGACCGCCUGGGGAGUACGGCCGCAAGGUUAAACUCAAAG
rnacentral:rRNA from 1 species